UUUGUAACAUCAACAAGCCGUAGAACACACCCUGGCACAACAAUCCCGCCCGGUCAAUAAAGAUGUGGACCAGUUUUCCAUGAGGAUAUCUUCCUUUCUUUUUCACCGCACACAAACACGGUUCGGUCUACUAGGUGUGGCAAACCUAGGAGAGCGAUACAGAACACACGGAGGGAGGGUUCAACAAGCCCUGGCCAGAUUGAAGCUGAGCUAUGUUCCAGACUAACGGGACAUUCCUCCGCUGCUACUACUCACCGGCAAACGUCUUCAAGUGCAUCAUAGACCAUCGUUUUUUGCUAUUCCUCAAUCUACUCGACGCUCGCUGGAGGCAAUGUGUUUCAGCACCAAGCGCGCGGCCAAACAGUCGUGACAUUCAAUGGCUUAAUGUCGCAAUUAUAAUAGUCGCCCAGCCCGCAGAUCGCUUUCCUCCGGGAUCCACGUGUUCUUUGUUUUCUCUAGCCUGUACUUGGCCUGUACCAAAUCGUUUCCUUUCUCCGAUUUCGCUUCUCCAAGGCACAGCACACACAGCACGGCUUAGAUUCUUUCCCUCUUGUACCGUGUGCUCAUCGUCGUGCAGAGCUCUACCACUCCGGUGACCUUUCUACCCAGCGCAAGAGCGUUAGCGCAGAUGAUCUUAAGAAAAAGCACGACACCUUCUUUCCAACGCUCUCCCCUCCUUUCCCUACCACACCCCGACGACCAGGCAUACCGUCUUCUGGCGAGUUUACUUUUCCCUCUGCCAGGCGUUCGAAAGGCGUACGACGACUUCGACGACGACGACAACGCCAACACAAUUGCAGCGAUUUUGCUGUCCGUUCCAGAUUUCAGGUUGAGUCCAUCUCAAACAGAACGAUACACAACAACGGAGGAGCAACGAAUCAUCGCUGGAAAGCAGGAUAGAAAGUGAGCAGAGUGCGGACGAACGAUUCGUUCUUGUGCUGUUGUUCAGUUUUCCGUUUUUAUGGAGCUGUGAAGCUGUACAUUUCGUGAUCCAAUCUCCGCGUCAGUGGGAGCAGCCUAUUGGCGUAGGCGAACGAACGGCCAGCCAGGAAUAAUUUAAUACAAUUCAUGUAGGCAGACAGGGCUGCAGUAAACGUCCAAAACUCUCUUUUCGAUUAUGCACACACGCUGCGGGCGUUCUGGUAGUAUUUCGGUAAACAUGUCGUCUUUUCUGUAUGGAGCAGCAUAAUAACAAAAAAACGCUUGACUUUUGUAAUGACAUGAGAAAUAUAUUCGUUUCAAGCUAAACAAUGCAAUUGCGACAAAUCUUUUCGUGGUUGUAAGGGUAAGAUCGAGAAACCACCCAACAGAUGUGAAGGACACACACAUCGCAGCGCACUCAGCUCCAGAUGUAUCAAUUGUUAUUUAUCAAACACGCUGCAUGGUAAUCACGCAACAGUUGUGCAAUGUCAGAAACAAAAAAAAA